rnacentral:tRNA from 1 species
UCGACCGCUGUGGCAUUGGUGAGCGCUGCCUGUGGCGUUCCCGUCGCCAAACACGGCAACCGUGCCGCCAGUUCCAAAUCCGGCGCGGCUGAU